rnacentral:sRNA from 1 species
AGGCUGGACCGCGGGCCCCGGCCUGGGGGCCACUGCUGCCACCGCCGCCGCCACCUCGUCUCCUCCCCGUCCCCGCCCAGCCCCAGGUCUCCCCGCCUCACUCGGGCCCGUGGCCGGGGUCACUUCCCGCCGCCCCUCCCCGCACGGAUGCCGAAGGUGAAGGCGCUGCAGUGCGCCCUGGCGCUGGAGAUCAGCUCAGUAACUUGCCCAGGAGUCGUGCUUAAAGACAAAGAGGACAUCUAUCUUAGCAUCUGUGUGUUUGGCCAAUACAAAAAGACACAAUGUGUCCCAGCCACUUUUCCCCUGGUCUUCAAUGCCAGAAUGGUGUUUGAAAAGGUGUUCCCGGACGCAGUAGAUCCUGGAGAUGUGGUUACACAGCUUGAAUAUGAUACAGCAGUGUUCGAGUUGAUACAGCUAGUUCCACCAGGGUAUCUUUCUUGUAGUGGGUGAAACACUGUCUACGUAUGACGAAAAUACACGAGAUUUCAUGUUUCCGGGUCCAAACCAAAUGUCUGGACACCAUGAUUCAAACCGCCAGGUUACCA